ensembl:lncRNA
CAACAGAAGGAAUCUCAUCGCUAAGGGAAGCUCAAGACCCCCAGGAUCUCAGUGUCAGACAGCGGGAUCCUGGCUGCCUCCCUGGAGUUUACCCAAAUCCUGCUGGAUUCCUCUCUGGCCCAUCUAACAGAGGAAGCACUGAUUUUGCUUCUGACAACUGCAUUUUCAGCAAACCAAGCACUCCCCCUGCAGAAGUCCCCCUUGCACACCUGGGCUGGCCGUGCGGAUGCACACAGCAGCGCCCCUUUGCACGGCUGCAUUUUCUCCAAGCACAGGCUGUAAUUUCCCCACGCCUUCCCCUGCGGUGCUGGUGGGAUGAGAUGUCCCUGGGCUCUGGGUGCUGCCUGUCAGGCACUCUGCAGCCACUGCUGUAUUUUUAUUCAUUAAGGGAGUGAGCGGCGGAAACCGCCAAAUGUCUCCCAUGGUAUCAGCGCACUCUUUUUAAGGUGAUGUGGGUCUGAUCUCGUCAAAAUUAAUGGCUUAUGGUUAUUCAUGCUAUUAUUCUUAAUGGGGCCAAGCAUAUACUGUACCCAGAAAGAGGCAGCGCUUGACUUGUCAAAGAUUUAUGGCAUAUCAUGACCCGGCUGGGCUGACUGUAACAUAUAAAAACUUCAUUGCUAAUAAUGAUGCUGUGCUCAGAAUAAAAAGGAAUGGGGAUGGAAAGGCACUGCAGGCAUCCAUGGAUCCCGGUAUUUUCUCAAGUUGGUGGUCUUAUAGGACCUUGGUUCAUCGGAGGGUACGAGAUGCAGCAAGAAGGGGUCUGCGAGGAGGUGGGCUUCAGGCUUUAUGGCAAGAGCCAGCCUUCUAGUUUGCAUUUGCAGAGCGAAUAUUAUCCUUAUGUACCCUACGAUGCUCAUCCUGCUUUCAAAGUAGUAUAGAGCUCUUUGCAGAACCACUACAGGUCCCUAAAAGGAGGUUGCGGCAAGGUGGGGGUCACCCAGGUGACAGCGAUGGGAGGAGAGGUGAUGGCUUUAAGUUGUGGCAGGGGAGCAUCAGGUUGGACGUUAGGAAAAGCUCCAUCAGAGUGGUUGGGCACUGGAACAGGCUGACCAGGGAGUGGUGGAGUCACCAUUUCUGGGGGCGUUUGAGAAAUGUGGCACUGAGGGAAGUGGUCAGCGGGCAUGGUAAGGGUGGGCUGGGGUCGGGCUUAGGGAUCUUAGAGGUCUUUUGCAACCUUCGUGGUUCUGUGAUGCUAUGACAUAGGAUCAGACUCUUAGAACCACUGGUGAAGAAGUGCCUGCACCAUGGGAGGCAGCGGGAGCUCAGGGAUGUAAUGGGACGUCGAGUGAAGACAGCAGAGCUCAGGACAGCACAGCAGAUUCCACUGGUGUGAAAUAAUGAAAUUCAGCUGAGCAGGGGAACCCCAUCCUAAUUAAAACUCAGAUGCUGCAAACAUCCGAGCACAGCCUGAACGAUCGUGGAGACACUCAGUGAAACCACCAGGACUUCGGAGGACACAGACUGAAAAUUGCCUUAAUUAAAUAAAAAGAAAGAAAAAACACAGAGAUUUGUAAACAUUGUGGGGCUCCUGAAUGCUAAUUCCUGAGUGCAGAAAAACCCAUUCUCCCGUAUGCUUAUUAAAAACAUAUGUCUCUGCCCAUUAGGCUGCAGAGAAAAUGCUUGUUUGUUCUUUUGCUAGAAAGAAACGUUCUUCUGAUUGCUAAUAAAUAUUUCUGUAACAGAGGGAAGCCUCCUAGGGAACAGACUCCUCUAGGAGCGGGUCUGGGUUUCUUCUUUGCUCUAGGUGCAUGAUUUCUUAUUUUUAAUCAAUGCAUUCAUUAUGAUUAGCCUGACAAAUAAAGCAUCCCUAACUCACAACAAGAACUGGGAAGAAAUAGGAAAAGGGCAGCUUGGAACCACAGAUCUGAGGCUUUAAAAUGAAAUAAAAAAUAAAAAAAAUAAAAAAAAAAGUAUAGAAAUUUUGCCUAGUUUUGAUGUCUUAAACACUCGGGUCCCCUGGUUCAUUAUGAGAAAACUGUCUCUGUAACUGAAAGACUGAAAGGCCUUGAUCAAAGCCUUAAUAUUUCUGCAUCAGAGCAAGAGAGAGAUUUAAAUUGCCAUUAAACCCUAAGGUGAGCCUAACCUGCCCAAUUACAGGGCUAACACCCCAUGGCUCUGGGAUCUGUGAAGUGUGUGUGUGUUUUAAUGGGGAUUUCACGCUGGACUGGCAGUUCUGGAGCCUUGACUUCCCCAUGGGCCACAGAGGAGGUGGAAUGAAGGAAGCUGAGUUAAAUCCUGCAUCACAUCAGUGCUUUGAUGGAUUGCUGGCAGCACUCCCAGCAUGUGCUGGGACAACCUGAGAUAAGAUGCGAUUCCACAUCAGCGUGGAACAUUGUUCACCAACGUUGCAAUGUCCACGCGUGUCUCAUUUGGUUUGUCGUGUUCCAAAUCUAUUGAUUUCAGUGUGAAUCUCUUGGAUUUGCUUUCACCCCAGGGAGCAGAGGCAGUUGCAAAGGGCCCGCUUGAAAUGGGGUGGCUCCAUCCAGUUGGGUGCAAUGACCAGGGUCUGUUCCCACCCAAGGGCUUGGGAUCACACCAGGCUCCUUCAGGAGGACAUCACAAGAGAAGACUCACAGGGGCAACGUCUGAAUCCAACGGGCUGGUAUCAAUCAGCAGAGACUUUUGACAUACCACCGAAUUUUCCAAGAUCACCACCGAACUGAAAAAUGGACUACACUGUAUUGGUUGUGUUUACCCAACCUGCUGCUGCUGCGCCAAUUUUCAUGGCACCAGAGGGUUCCUGAUGCGUGCCCAUACAUGUUGUACAUCUGGAGGAGACCAGGUACGUACCAGCGACUCUCGACACUUCUCCUGCCAAACACUUUUCCUUCCUGUCUUGCUUAUAAAUGACUCAGUUUUAAUGCAGUUAUUUGAAGUGUGUUUCAAUUAACUGAGAUCUGGGGGAUUCUUCUCCUUCAAGCUAAUCAGAGAUCGCUGGGAGAGACCAGAACACCUCAAAGCAUCCCAGAGAAAGGAUGGGUACACAUAGGGUUUUACCAGCGUGCCCCAUGCCUUCAAACAUGGGUACAAAGCAAUAAAAUCACAGCUCAAAACACAGGUAUCUUUGGGCUCUGCCUCAGGUUCGGUGCUGGGGGAUCUUGCUGUUUGUGGCAGGGAGCUGGAAUGAGGACUUUGGAAUUUGCUGAUGGCAAUAAAAUAGCAUGCUGUCUUGGAACCGAUGCACACAGCACAGCUCCUGGCUCGUGCUUUUUUCUUCGUGUGGGUUUUUCGUAAAGAAAGGAGCCUUAAGUCUCAUGCAAACUGUUCCCACUGGGUGGACAAGAAAGGAAGAUUUCAACUAACCAUUGGAAAUUGCAGGGGUUCGUGUGCCAUCUGCAUCCCUGAAAAUGCAACAACCAACACUGACAAAUGAGUUUGUCAUCUCAUCUGCUCCAAAUGGAGAGGAAGUUAAUGCCAACAGCUUCUGCCGUGCAAAGGCUGCCCAGUCCUGCCACCAGCAAGCUGAAUUUGGAGCCAGCCACCCCAACGCCACAGGUUUUGGGUGGACAGUAGGUGCCAACCUAUUGCAUGUUUUAAGACCACACAGCACAGCCAGUAUCCAAAGCUGUUGUCCUGAAACAUAAUCCUGGCUGGUACCAACAAUGGCAAACCAGUGAGGGAACAGAUAGAAGCACACAGAACUGUGCAGACUGCGCCCAUGCUACCUGGAAGAUGGAUAAAAAAGAGUUGGCCAGUGCUGAAAGAGCAUGAAUGACUGCUUUCGAGAAAUAAAGGGUGAAUAUCUUGCAAGUGUUCUGCAGUAUAUGGAGUUUCUUGUGUGGUUCAUAAGAUACUUAAACUAAUGAAAGGUAUCUGCAGUCAUGGAAUUGCUUGAGUUGGAAGGGACCCUUAAUGGCCAUCUGGUCCAACUCCCUGCACUGAACAGGGAUACCUGCAGCUCCAUCAGGUGCUCAGAGCCCUGUCCUCAGAGCCUGACCUUGAAUGUCUCCAAGGAUGGGCCAUCCACCACCUCUCUUUGCAAACUGUUCCACUGCUUCACCACCCUUAUUGCAAAAAACUUCCUCCUUACAUCCAAUCUUAAUCUUCCCUCCUUUAGUUUGAAACCAUUUCCCCUUCUCCUAUCACAGCAGACCCUGCUAAAGAGUCUGUCCCCUUCUUGCUUACAGCCCCCAUUGACCACCGUUCUCUGGGUAUGCUCCUAUAACCACCUCCUCACACACUGAACAGUCCAGAUCCAAAUCUUUCUAAUUUGGAGGGAAGGAUGUUAUGGGGGACAGUGACAAAGGCUGUGCUGAAGCUCAGAUAAAUGACUUCAGUGGCUCAAUGACUUCUUACAUACCACUGAGAAUGGCUUGGCAACUACGCUGGCCAUUCCCUCAGGACACCGGGAUGCAUCUCAUCAGGACCCACAGACAUAUGGACAUCACAAUCCCUUACCCACAGCUCCAUACUGCUGCCCAGUCACUGCUACGUAAAGAGAGGAUGUAGGAAUGCAUUUCCACAGGCAAGGUCAUAAAAAAUACAACUACUCCCACCCUGUAACCACUCGGCCACGGUGAUCAGAUCGAACCAAAGGGUGGGAUGAAGGCAUUUGAAACGUCAGUGAAUCACUCAGCAGUGCACAGGGCAAUCUACUGAACCACUCCUGGGUGAAUUCCACCCAACACAACGAGUCCUACGCAGAUUUUUUACUCAAGACAACGAUUCCUACCCAGAUUCCUACACCAGCACUCGUUCUCCUGUGACCUCUUCAGCCAGGUUUGAUGUAAUCCCAUUCUCUGAACCUUGCUACAACUCAGCGCUUGUUCUGCAGAACAGCAGUCCCACUGAGUUCUUUCUCUUAUCCUAUCUGUCUUGUUUAUUUUGGACUGUAUCUGCUGAGAAAAGGUCUUAGAUGUGCAUGUGGGCGCACACAGCCCUGGCACAAUGGAUAGAGCAGUGUGAACGCUUCCUGAGAUAAAUACUGCUAUCAGUAUAUCACUGCCAUCCCCUCGCUCUCUCAGGUGUCGUUAAAAAAUGAAAGGUUCGUUGUAGAAGUCCUUAUUCUCUGGAAGGGAGGCUGUAAACUUUUCCUCUGAUCUCAUGUCGUUUUAUUCCGUAAUUUGCAUUUUGGGAAGGAAAAAGAAACCUUUCCGUAAGACUCCAGUGUAUAAAUCUCAGUUUAUUGUUUUCUAUCAGGGCAAAAUGUUAGUUCUGUGCCAGGUGUCUUAAAUUAAUAGGCUACAGGUUUAAAGCAAGGAGAAAAAUGCCAAAAAUGUUCCCUCAUUCGUUCUAGCCUUGAAAAGCACUGAUUUAAUUAAUCUUCCUUCAUCAGCAGUAGAAAGCAUGGGUCUAAUUGCAAGCUCAGAAGCACCAGUUGUCCAAGUGAUUGGAUGGUAGUUAGAGAUGAAAGAGAGUAAAACAAGGCAUUGAUGAAUGCAGGUUUAUUAGGAGCUCUGUCUCAUUGACUUGUCUCGUGAAGCAGUUGGAAAUCGGCUACAAAGUAAUAAAAGAAAAUUAAAACACAUAAAACUUUGUUAAAGUAACGUGGAAAGGCCCCCAUUAAACCAAGGGAAAAAAAAAAGAAAAAGGCAAGGAGCUAGGAAGUGAGAAGUAAAACACAUCGUAAAGACUUACUGUCCAAUCCAAAGCCCAUUGAAAUCAAUGGCACGGUGAUAUACGGAGUGGAAGCGUAUUACUCAGCCAUUAGAGGACUAUUUGGGUUAUGUGGAGCCAUGGAGCAUGUGCACUUAUUGCUACAGAACAAGGCCACCUUGGGUAGAAAGCUCUCUGUAGGCAUAUGAGUAGGUGUACGCAACAAUACGCACAUGGAAGAUGGCAAAGCACAUAUAGAAGAUGGUAGAACACAUAUAGAAGAUGGCAAAGUACACAUAGAAAAUGGCAGAGCUUGUAUAGAAGAUGGUAGAGCCCAUAUAGAAGAUGACAAAGCACGUAUGGAAAAUGGCAGAGCCCAUAGAGAAGAUGGAAGAGCACACAGAGAAGAUGGUAGAGCCCAUAGAGAAGAUGGCAAAGCACAUAUAGGAGAUGGCAGAGCCCAUAUGGAAGAUGGUAGAGCACAUAUGAAAGAUGGUAGAGCCCAUAUAGAAAGCAGGUUACCAGCAUCGUGGUGGCUGGGGGAGUAAACGUUUGGGAAGAACUAGAAAGUCCCAAAGAUUUUAACUUGAUUUUUUUCACUCUGGUUUUAUAGAACUACAGAAGCCUGGAGAUGUGAGACCAAGACUUGAGGCCUGUCAUUAUUCUCAUGUUUGGUCCUGUUCUUUCCUACCUGGCUGCCUGUUUGUACAUCCUGGCUUUGUCCCUCUCAGUGCAGUUUGUCACAGCAGAAGCCUGCCAGGUCUCCUGGGUGUUUGCACAGUACCUAAAAAGUCUACAAUUUUGGUAAUAUGCAGCUGGCAUAAAUGGAGAUAAUGCAGGGGGAGGAGAGAGAAGACAAGGUAGUGCUGGAAAUUAGUGUGCUUGCAUAAGUCAAUAAUCACAGGGGUCUCCCAGGUGGCAGCCAUCCUAGCUUCUAAAUUUAAUAGAUUAGAUGGAAAAUAAUGCCUCCCCCAACACUUCCCCUUAGGGGACUGGUACUUCUCAGGGAAGCGUUUCCAGUAAUUAGCACCUGUGUCUUACAGAAAUCAGAGCCUGCCAUGGCUUCUGAGCAGGGCAGUGGGAAGUUCUGCCACAUUUGCAUUUCUUUCUAUCAGAAAUGUGCUGCAGAGUUUGCAGUCAGCUCUGGGAGGGCUCGUGGCAGCGCCCCGGGGCUCAGCCCCAUGCAGGGCUCUGUGAGCAGAAGCAGAAUAAUCCAAUUGCUGGCACACAAAGGAAGCCUGAGAUUAUUCCAGAUCAGACCCGAGGAUGCAGAUCAGUGGCAAAAUAUGCUGUAUUUCAGCAGAGGUUCAGUUCAGCCCCACAGUUUCCUUACAAAACAUCAGGACUGCCCUCAAGGCAAACUCUGCCUUCCCCCUGCCUGCCUCUAGUGCUGUUAGCCAUGCUGGGUUUCCCAGUCUCUAGCUGUAGACAGUGGACUGGGGAAUGAAAAGAGAGCUUUCAAGGGAGUUGAGCAUCACUGGGAGGUGCCUUUAGCUGUAAUGACCAAUGAAAUGUCUGUUAUGGAGAAGAGCAGAGCAAUGCUGAUCACUCACAACGUACCAAAUUCAUAUUUAGGCUCACUCCUAUAUAUGAAGUGCAGUGGAAGAUACACACCGUAAUCCAGAGCCACACUGUGGUCACACACAGAGAGCCUUUUUUCAGGAAACAAAAGAACCACAACACUGCUGGUGAGCCCUGAUGCCUCUCUUGUACCCACUAGGUUGGCUUUGGUAGGUAGGGGAAAAAAUAAUUGAUGAGCAGGGAGACUCCAGGGACUGCCUGAUUCUAAAUCAGGAGAUAGCAUGCUGGUAAUCAGGAAAUGGAAUUUGAAUAAUAACCAUUUUCCCCCUUCAAUUGCUCGUUUUGCUGUUUUCACUUGCAAAUCCCCAGCACCGUGCUCUGCAGGCACAGAGAUCUCUGACCUUCCUGGGAAAGCAGCGCUGAUGCUGAAGCAGAGCAAUCUCAGCAGUGUGGGGUGGAUGUGAACUCACCCCAAAGGGUCGGGAUGGCAAUUAGGAAUGGAGCAACGCAGAUAAACUCCUUGCAGGUCUGGCCCAACACACACAGCUGUCCUGGUGGAUACCCAACUUCCUUUUGCAGACCACCUUGGUGCUAUCUUGCAGCUAUAGAUAGAUAAAUACUGUAGUAAAUGCAACACAACAUGGGUUUUUUUUUUGCCUCUCUCAAGCAAAUGUGACUAUAAAGAGAUCUGGUAAAGUAUGAUAAUCAAUACACUAUUUGAAUGUGCAGAAAGGAGAUUGAUUUUUAAUGAGGCACUUAGUUUUCUGAACGAAUCCCAUCUUCCUCCAGCAUUUUGAUUACAGCCACUUCUCUGAUCCUAAAACUUCUCCUGCUUCAAGAAUUACUUAAAAAAAGUCUUUGUGUAUGGAAAGUGAUUGAUUCCUUUAUUUUAUUUUGCAAACCCAAUUUUGCUUGCUCUGUGUAGACGAUGAUACAAUUAUUUAUUUUGCUGCUUUGUCACUUCGUUGCUUCAUGGGAGGGAAAAAAAAAGAUUGGAAUUAUUUUUUUGCUAGUGAUUAAAACAACAAUAAAAACAACCUUUUGUGGCACGAGUAUAAACCAUCAGAUCAUCGGGGCUGCAAUGGCCUUAAAUCUACCACAACUGCCACUUCGAAUUUGUUCACAUCUGUGUCUGUGUUAAACCAUGAGUGAGGAUGAGCUUGGCCAACAUUUGGGCUUUGCCUUCACACUGCCCCAACUGCUCCUUGCAAAUCCAAACCCACCAAACCUCUCAUUGUGUGGCUUACCAGGGCUGGGGACCGAUGGAGGUCAGUGUCUCGUGGGUGGUGGAAGGCAGACACGUGGAGAUAGCUCCAUUGCAAGAGCUGUUUUGCCAAAGGGGAUGUUUGACACAAGCUGAAGUUGCAAAGGAUGGUCUGUAUGAUGGAGACGUGGCUGUGGUUUGGAGUCGAAGAAACCUUUGGUCUUGACUGCUGCAAAAUAUGGGGAAAAUAUUUUUGAAUCACAGGAUCACAGAAGGGUUCAUCAUCACUGGAAUGGACCUUCCAACCAAAGCUGUUUUGUGAGUCUAUAAAAAUCCAUCUUUCGGGGCUUAUCUCCGCUUGGCAAAGCGAUACCUGGCCAUAGCAAACAGCACUGCAUUUAUGCCAACACCAAACUGGAGUUAAGCACAGGGCAGGAGCCAGCUUCGCCAUUUGGCACCAACUCCACGCGCUGGCAUUUGUAAAGCAAAGACCUAUUUCACUGCCAGCAUCAGAAAGGUUGUUCUCAGGAGCAUCCCUCCUACGAGGGUGUCAUGUCUGUGGUUGUGUUGGGUGACACGGAUGUGAACCGAGCCCCAGGUCUCUUGUUAUCCAGGGGAAAUGGAAGACAUUCACCCAGCACGGUCUAACGAGGCAGAACUCAUUGCCUGUCGCUGUUCCUUUGA